rnacentral:rRNA from 1 species
UACGUAGGGUGCAAGCGUUGUCCGGAAUUAUUGGGCGUAAAGAGCUCGUAGGCGGUUUUGUUGCGUCGGCUGUGAAAUCCCGAGGCUCAACCUCGGGUCUGCAGUCGAUACGAGCAAACUAGAGUGUUGCAGGGGAGACUGGGAAUUCCUGGUGUAGCGGUGAAAUGACGCAGAUAUCAGGGAGGGAACACCGGUGGCGAAGGCGGGGUCUCUGGGCAACAACUGACGCUGGAGGAGCGAAAGCGUGGGGAGCGAACAGG